rnacentral:misc_RNA from 1 species
GCUUUGCGAUUCUCUCUCCUUCUCCUCGUUCUUGGCACCCACCUACCCACCAAACACACUCUCAGAAGCAUCAACGAAAGCACGUCGUGAAACAACCAGCGAGAGAGAGCCCCCCCCCCCCAAGCACACGCACAGGCACUCACCUCUGACAAACGCGAGGCUCUUGCAGUGUUGUUUGUGCGUGCUAUCGAUUGCUUCUCGGCCUUUCUAUACACCGCUGCCCAACACCACCGCCCCCUUCCCCCCCCCCGUCUUUCCUCUAGAGGUCCACAAGUCAGUUUUCCAAUGUUCCGCCUUGGGUGCAAAUCGUUGAUGCGGCGCACUGCCGUGGCGCUCUCUAGCGCGGCAGCCGCCGGUGAGGCGCCGCCGAAUCCGGUCACCUACCUCACCGAUGAUGAGAAAAUGCUUGUCGAGACGGUACGUGCCUUUAGCCUGACACACGUGGUGCCGAGGUCUCGCCAGAUGGAUGAAGAGGGCAAGAUGGACCCUGUUGUGCUUAAGGAGGCCUUUGCUGCCGGUCUCAUGGGCAUUGAGACCCCCGCCGACCUCGAGGGUGGCGGCAUGAGCUUCUUUUCCAGCAUUCUCGCUAUCGAGGAGUUGGCGCGUCACGACCCUGCCGUCUCGGUCACGGUGGACGUACAGAACACGCUCGUCAACAACAUCUUCUUCAACUUCGCGAACGACGCGCAGCGCAGAAAGUACCUGCCCAAGCUCGCCAAGGACACAGUGGGCUGCUUCUGCCUCACUGAGGCGGGAAGCGGCAGCGACGCCUUCGCGCUGAAUACGAAGGCGGAGAAGAAGGGCUCGAAGUGGGUCAUCAACGGCUCGAAGCUGUACAUCACGAACGGCGGAUGGGCAGGCAUCUUCCUUGUCAUGGCAACGGUGGACCCAUCGAAGGGCUACAAGGGAAUCACCUGCUUCGUAGUGGACUCUUCUGAGACCCCAGGAGUCUCUGUGGUACGGACAGAGAACAAACUAGGUAUUCGCGCCAGCUCGACGGCCGAGCUCCGACUAGAAAACGUGGAGGUGCCGGAGGAGAACGUGAUUGGAGAGGUCGGCAAGGGCUACAAGAUUGCUAUCAACAUCCUCAACGAGGGACGCAUCGGCAUCGGCGCGCAGAUGCUCGGUAUUGCACAGGGCUCCCUAGACAUCGUCAUGCCGUACCUCUUUCAGCGCAAGCAGUUUGGGAAGUUCAUCGGCGAUUUCCAGGGUAUGCAGAUGCAGUACGCCGAGUGCGCCAUGGAGUUACACGCUGCGCGGCUCAUGGUCUACAAUGCGUCUCGCAAGAAGCAGAACAACGAGAUGUUCAUCCAGGACGCGGCGAUGGCCAAGUAUUUCGCUUCCGUUGUCGCAGAGAAAACGGCCAGCCGUGCGGUGGAGUGGGCUGGUGGCGUCGGCUUCAUGAAGGACUUCGGUCUGGAGCGUUUCUACCGCGAUGCCAAGAUCGGUGCCAUCUACGAAGGUACCUCCAUCAUUCAGCUGCAGACUAUUGCCAAGAUGAUCAAAGCCCAGUACGACAAGUCUUCCUCCCCUUCAGGCGCCUCACAUUAAAGAUACGCUCUCCCUGUCAGCAGCCUGCUCACUGAGAAAUGUGGAUCUACUCAUGUUCCGGGGCGAGGACUGGCAGACGCUAUCGCGUGCGCGCCAGUUGCAACGGCUCGUUUCCAUUGAGAGUAUCCUGCUUUUUUUGUCAAGACGACGUUCUCCUUGACGACGAGGGGGGGGGUGAUAUCUCAGUGCGUGGCAUCUCAGAGCCCACUACCCACGCUCUAUGCGUUGAAAAGCCGAGCAGCUCCCCAGUAUCCCACUGCCCAUCCACAACCACUUUCUCGUGUUGACAGGGUCAGGUACCUAUGAGUUAGUGAAGUCAGAGCAGUGUAUCGCUGCUGAUGUCGGCGGUCAGUCCGUAGAUGGUGCUGCGCUGAAGUGGCCCGCGACUGUGAACACACUUGAGCCACCCAUAUGAAUAGGCAAAAUGUCCACGUGACCCAAACACAUCUCUCACCCGGUCCUCACUGCCUGCUGGCACGGGGAUCCUGAGCCCCACUCCCCAGAGAGUAGUGCACGAUGGGUGGCGGCCUGUAGAACGGGUGGUGGGUGGGUAGGGGCAGAGUCAGAGGCAGUGCCCAGGUGCCGGAGCCGGAGCAUUGACCUUAAGGCGUGUGCCUAGGGCUGCUUCGCACCACAGGAUGCGUGCCUGUGACAGACCAGGGAGGGCAGAGAGAAGUUGCGUUUCUCCUGCAUGGCAGAACAGACUCGUGUGAGAAAAGAGUAUUCCUCGAUCGCGGAACUUCUCUCCAUCAGCCUCUUUCGCUCCCCGACUCCUCUCUGCGCUGUGCUGCGCUUUUCACUCGUGAGUGAAGUCGACUGUCUGAUGUUGUUGUUGUUUUUUUGCUUUUCGUUCAUGUAUGUCUGUGUGUGUACGUCAGAACGCAUGCAUUUCUGUUUUCAUUUGCUCUCUUUGCUGUGAUGCUGUCCCACCACGUGAGGAAUCGUAGGGGAGGGAGACGGCCCGCCGCCGCCUUCUCCUCACUCUCAUGCGCUGCCCAUAUAUAUGCCUCCGACGUGUUUUUUGAAACAUAUGGUGAAGAGGAAGAAAAACGUACGAAAAGGUGGCAAGAAAACAUCGAAUAAACGCCUCCGGAAGAAUCUGCUUGAAUGCGUAUCAAGAAGGGUAGAGCAAGACACCAGACGAUGUGAGCCGCGGCGUCACCGCGUUUUGCCCUCCGCCACCCCAUCUUGGCUGGUUGCUGUUUGCUUCAGCACCCUCCACACUUUUUUUCGUCGCGCUCCGCCUCCCUCUUUUUCUUCAGAGGCCUGCACUGCUGGCAUGAUCCCCAAAACGCUGCCUUGAUUUUCCUUUCUUUUCCGCUUUCCUUGCGGAUGUGUCUGAGGGUUUGAAGCUUAUCUUUUCUUUUUUGUUUUUUCUCUCUCCAACCGCUCGAGCACCGGCGCCGAAGCCUCUUGCUCUUCUUUGCCUGCACUGUUUUUCUUUUUUUCUCCAGCGCUAGGGUGAUGGACAUCGUUGCCUCUAUCGCGUGCUACGCACCCUACACCGCAUCAGCAUGUACCGGUGCAGGGGACUGAAGUUUGCUGUUUUCCUUUUUGUUCUGUUUUCUUCUCUCACUUCUUGACAGACGCUUUUCACUUUCUUUGCGCGACGCUGCGUACGCUUGACCCCUUCUUGCUGCCGUGAGGCAAUGUGCAGCGGCGCGGAGGUGAUCUGUCGCAGCAGCCAUGCACCCGUCAAACAAAGCAGAGCAGAAGAGUGGGGCAGCGGAGCCGGCAGAACAUGACAUUCCAGUAUCCAUGGUAAGCGCGGUUGGGUGCAAACA